UACAGAGGUCCCAAGCGUUGUUCGGAUUUACUGGGCGUAAAGGGUGCGUAGGUGGCGAGGUAAGUUCGAUGUGAAAUCUCCGAGCUCAACUCGGAAAUGGCAUUGAAUACUAUCCCGCUUGAGGGUCGGAGGGGAGACUGGAAUUCUCGGUGUAGCAGUGAAAUGCGUAGAUAUCAUGAGGAAUACCAGAGGCGAAGGCGGCUACCUGGCCCAUUCUUGACGCUGAGGCGCGAAAGCUAGGGGAGCGAACGGG
rnacentral:rRNA from 1 species